rnacentral:rRNA from 1 species
UACGUAGGGUGCGAGCGUUGCCCGGAUUUAUUGGGCGUACAGGGCGCGUAGGCGGCUCUGCACGUCCGUUGUGAAAUCGCCCGGCUCAACUGGGCGGGGUCAGCGGAUACGGCGGAGCUUGAGCAAGCUAGGGGGCAAUGGAAUUCCCGGUGUAGUGGUGGAAUGCGUAGAUAUCGGGAGGAACACCUGUGGCGAAAGCGGCUCACUGGACCACAACUGACGCUGAGGCGCGAAAGCUAGGGGAGCAAACAGG